GGGCUUGUGGUUUAGUGGUAUAAUACUCCCUUAGCAUCUACAGGUAUCCAAUACCUUGAAGCUUGGGAGUGGUCCGGGGUUCGAUUCCCCGCGAGUCCA